CCUACGGGUGGCAGCAGUAGGGAAUCUUCCACAAUGGGCGAAAGCCUGAUGGAGCAACGCCGCGUGGGUGAAGAAGGUCUUCGGAUCGUAAAACCCUGUUGUUAGAGAAGAAAGUUCGUGUGAGUAACUGUUCACGUUUCGACGGUAUCUAACCAGAAACCCCCGGCUAACUACGUGCCAGCACCCGCGGUAAUACGUAGGUGGCAAGCGUUAUCCGGAUUUAUUGGGCGUAAAGGGAACGCAGGCGGGCUUUUAAGUCUGAUGUGAAAGCCUUCGGCUUAACCGGAGUAGUGCAUUGGAAACUGGGAGACUGGAGUGCAGAAGAGGAGAGUGGAACUCCAGGUGUAGGGGUAAAAUGCGUAGAUAUAUGGAAGAACACCAGUGGCGAAGGCGGCUCGCUGGACUGUAACUGACGCUGAGGUUCGAAAGCGUGGGUAGCAAACAGGAUUAGAUACCCGAGUAGUC
rnacentral:rRNA from 1 species